AUUGAACGCUGGCGGCAUGCCUUACACAUGCAAGUCGAACGGCAGCAUGAUCUAGCUUGCUAGAUUGAUGGCGAGUGGCGAACGGGUGAGUAAUACAUCGGAACGUGCCCUGUAGUGGGGGAUAACUAGUCGAAAGAUUAGCUAAUACCGCAUACGACCUGAGGGUUAAAGUGGGGGACCGCAAGGCCUCAUGCUAUAUGAGCGGCCGAUGUCUGAUUAGCAAGUUGGUGAGGUAAAGGCUCACCAAGGCGACGAUCAGUAGCUGGUCUGAGAGGACGAUCAGCCACACUGGGACUGAGACACGGCCCAGACUCCUACGGGAGGCAGCAGUGGGGAAUUUUGGACAAUGGGGGCAACCCUGAUCCAGCAAUGCCGCGUGUGUGAAGAAGGCCUUCGGGUUGUAAAGCACUUUUGUCCGGAAAGAAAUCGCACUUACUAAUAUUAGGUGUGGAUGACGGUACCGGAAGAAUAAGGACCGGCUAACUACGUGCCAGCCGCCGCCGUAAUAC
rnacentral:rRNA from 1 species